rnacentral:lncRNA from 1 species
AAAACUUAACUUUGACCACUGAACCAUGAAAAUGAGGUCAAGGUCAGAUGACACCUGCCAGUUGAACAUGCACACCUUACAGUCCUCCAUACACCAAAUAUACUAGACCUAUUGCUUAUAGUAUCUGAGAUAUGGACUUGACCACCAACACUUAACCUUGUUCACUGAUCAAUGACAUGAGGUUGAAGUCAAGUGAAAACUGUCUGACGAGCAUUAGGAACUUGCACAUACCAAAUAUAGAUAUCCUAUAUUACUU